UACAUAUUACAUCUUCCUCUUGUGUACAAAUGCACAUUCAUUGGAAUCUGAAUCACCGGCAGAUACCAGCAAUCACAACCCAAACCUCACUGGUCAGCGUUGUUUCUCACUUUUUACUCACACAGUUAGUGACGUGCUGAUUGUGUGACGAUGUCGUGUCGUGUAAUUGGUUUUGCAUAACUCCUGCUUCUCUUUUCCACACACACUCUCUCAUCUUGCAUCUCUUUUGGCUUCCAGCGCCAUAAUGGCCACUGUACAAGCAUGUGGGCGUCCAUCAGGGGAACCAAACUCUUGGAGCAAUUGGGAAUCCCCUGCUAAACGGCUUCUUUGAUAAACGAAAGGUAGAGAGCUGCACCCAGCAGAUGGUACGUGGUGAGUGGAUAAGGGCUGAACAUGACAGAUUACUAUUAACUCAUGUUGUGCAGAAUAAAGGAGGCUUAAAACAUG